GACGAACGCUGGCGGCGUGCUUAACACAUGCAAGUCGAACGAUGAAGAAAAGAAUCGAAGCUUCGGCAGAAAUUCAUUUCGGAUUAGUGGCAGACGGGUGAGUAACGCGUGAGCAACCUACCUCUUACAAAGGGAUAGCCUCGGGAAACCGGGAUUAAUACCAUAUAACAUUGCGACGAAGCAUUUCGAUGCAAUCAAAGCUACGGCGGUAAGAGAUGGGCUCGCGUCCCAUUAACCGGAUGGUGAGGUAACGGCUCACCAUAGUGACGAUGGGUAACCGGCCUGAGAGGGUGAACGGUCACACUGGAACUGAGACACGGUCCAGACUCCUACGGGAGGCAGCAGUGGGGAAUAUUGCACAAUGGAGGGAAGUCUGAUGCAGCGACGCCGCGUGAGUGAUGAAGGAAUUCGUUUCGUAAAACUCUGUUAUAUGGGAAGAAAAGGACUGUACCAUAGGAGAAAGCUCCGGCUAAAUACGUG
rnacentral:rRNA from 1 species